rnacentral:rRNA from 1 species
CCUACGGGAGGCAGCAGUAGGGAAUCUUCCACAAUGGGCGAAAGCCUGAUGGAGCAACGCCGCGUGGGUGAAGAAGGUCUUCGGAUCGUAAAACCCUGUUGUUAGAGAAGAAAGUGCGUGAGAGUAACUGUUCACGUUUCGACGGUAUCUAACCAGAAAGCCACGGCUAACUACGUGCCAGCAGCCGCGGUAAUACGUAGGUGGCAAGCGUUAUCCGGAUUUAUUGGGCGUAAAGGGAACGCAGGCGGUCUUUUAAGUCUGAUGUGAAAGCCUUCGGCUUAACCGGAGUAGUGCAUUGGAAACUGGGAGACGUGAGUGCAGAAGAGGAGAGUGGAACUCCAUGUGUAGCGGUGAAAUGCGUAGAUAUAUGGAAGAACACCAGUGGCGAAAGCUGCACUCUGGUCUGUAACUGACGCUGAGGUUCGAAAGCGUGGGUAGCAAACAGGAUUAGAUACCCUUGUAGUC